rnacentral:misc_RNA from 1 species
UAAUAAGUGUUUUAUGGCACUUUUUAAAUCCAUAUCCACCUUGUGUGCAAUGUCAGUCGAUCUUCUUCAUGGAGAUCGACCAAACAUCAACCUUUAUUUUUUAACUCUUUGUCUGAAAAAUAUUACGAAUAAACAAUUCAAAAUA